GAGUUUGAUUCUGGCUCAGAGCGAACGCUGGCGGCAGGCCUAACACAUGCAAGUCGAACGAACUCUUCGGAGUUAGUGGCGGACGGGUGAGUAACACGUGGGAACGUGCCCUUUGGUACGGAAUAACUCAGGGAAACUUGAGCUAAUACCGUAUGUGCCCUUCGGGGGAAAGAUUUAUCGCCAUUGGAGCGGCCCGCGUCUGAUUAGCUAGUUGGUGAGGUAAAGGCUCACCAAGGCGACGAUCAGUAGCUGGUCUGAGAGGAUGACCAGCCACAUUGGGACUGAGACACGGCCCAAACUCCUACGGGAGGCAGCAGUGGGGAAUCUCGCGCAAUGGGCGAAAGCCUGACGCGGCCAUGCCGCGUGGAUGGUGAAGGUCUUAGGAUUGUAAAAUCCUUUCACCGGUGAAGAUAAUGACUGUAGCCGGAGAAGAAGCCCCGGCUAACUUCGUGCCAGCAGCCGCGGUAAUACGAAGGGGGCUAGCGUUGCUCGGAAUUACUGGGCGUAAAGGGCGCGUAGGCGGACAUUUAAGUCAGGGGUGAAAUCCCAGAGCUCAACUCUGGAACUGCCUUUGAUACUGGGUGUCUUGAGUGUGAG
rnacentral:rRNA from 1 species